CAGGUAGGACUACCCGCUGAGA
rnacentral:rRNA from 1 species